UAUAAAUUUGAUUUUGGUUUAUUUUUAAUUGGUAUAAUUUUAUACAUGUUAGGUUUAUGUGGGGAUAUGCACUUAUCUUAUAUUUUAUAAAUAUAUUUAUAUAUUAAAUAUUAAGUAUAUUUAUAAAUAUUAUUUAUAUUAUUAAAUGUUGUUUAAUAUAAUUUUUUGUAAGAUAUUCAGUAUAUAUAUUUAUACAAUGAAUGAAAGUUUUAUAUAGAAAUUAUACAAUAUAAUUGGAUAAAUUUGUGCCAGCAUCUGCGGUUAUACAAAUAAUUUAAAUUAAAAAUGUUUGGUGAAAAAUAAAGUAAUAUAUUUAUAUUAUUAAUAUUGAUAGGAAGAUAUAUAGUUAAUUUUUAGGUAAAAUUUUUAAAUUGAUUUGUUUUUUAUAUUUUUCUUUAUUAUUAAUACUUUAAAAAUUUGAAAAUAAACUAGGAUUAGAUACCCUAUUAUUUUAAAUUAUAAAAAAUAAUUAUAUUUACCUAAGUAUUAUGAAAGUAUAAUUAUUAUGAAAAUAAUUCUUUUUAAAACUUAAAAGGUUUGGCGGUUUUACAUAUCCAAUUAGGGGAGUUUGUUAAUUAAUUUGAUAAUCCUCAAUUUAGACUUACUUUUUUUUGAUAUAUAUAUACAGUUUGUAUAUUGCUGUCAUUAGUUUAUAUUUUAAAAAUAAUUAAAGGACUAUUAAAUUAUUUGGUUUUUAUGUCAAGUCAUAAUGCAGCUUAUAGAAAAGAUUUAGUGAACUACUAUAAUUAAUUUUAUUAAAUUCCGGAUUUUAAAAAUUAUUUUUAUUAGAAAGGUGGACUUAAUAGUAAAAUGUAAUUAGUAUGUAUUAUUGAAUAUUGGUUUUGUAAGGUGUACAUAUCGCCCGUCACUCUUGUUUUAUAGAUAAGAUAAGUCGUAACAUAGUAGAGGUAAUGGAAAUUGUUUCUGGAUUAAU
rnacentral:ncRNA from 1 species